rnacentral:rRNA from 1 species
UACGAAGGGGGCUAGCGUUGCUCGGAAUCACUGGGCGUAAAGCGCACGUAGGCGGCUUCUUAAGUCAGGGGUGAAAUCCUGGGGCUCAACCCCAGAACUGCCCUUGAUACUGAGGAGCUUGAGUCCGGGAGAGGUGAGUGGAACUCCGAGUGUAGAGGUGAAAUUCGUAGAUAUUCGGAAGAAAACCAGUGGUGAAGGCGGAUCACUGGCCCGGUACGGACGCUCAGGUGCGAAAGCGUGGGGAGCAAACAGG